AGGAAAUUCCAACUCUAAAGAAGAUCAGGAAUAUAUGUAAUGAUUAAGAAAAUAGGAAUAGAAUAAUUUUAUUGUACCUAAUAGAGCAAGGGAAGGAGAACAUGUAAGUGAAUCUGCUUAAAUGAUAUAUAAGGCUUAGAUAAUUAAGAUGGAAGAAGUGCUUUCGAGUUAGCUCCCUUGGAAAAUCUCUAAUUAGUCUUUUGUGGUGUGGCAUGGGCUGUAGUUUAAGUAGUAGUUUCUCUCGUUUUCUAGAAAAAAAGUAUCUAACAUAAAUCAACACGUGGGAUCAAGCCAUAAAAAGUGACUUAUUAUAGGUCAAUCACGAGUCAAAGAAGAUAUCUUAUAGACGAGAACUGCACAGCACAUAAAACCAAAUCUUUUGAUGCUUCAUAUGAUGAUUGCUCUACAGAUGGAAAAAUGAAAGUAAACAUUAAGUAUGGACUUUAAUUUUAGAAACCGAUCAUAGUUGCAUCAGUAACACGAAUUAGUUACAACACCUGAUCAAACAUGGUUUAUAAUAAAUUUGAGGUUGACAACAUUUUACUCCCAUCGCUUUGUUCAGUUUCAUAUUAGAUUUACUAGAAGAAUAUCGAAAACAACUAAAGCAUUGCAACCAUAGAUAACUGCACUAGGUUUUGCUCUAUCCCUUCAUAUUCAAAAAUGCUUCACUGAGAUUGCAGAACCCUUAAUAUGUACAAGAAUCUCUUU
rnacentral:lncRNA from 1 species